UCUAAACGACUCUCGGCAACGGAUAUCUCGGCUCUCGCAUCGAUGAAGAACGUAGCGAAAUGCGAUACUUGGUGUGAAUUGCAGAAUCCCGUGAACCAUCGAGUCUUUGAACGCAAGUUGCGCCCGAAGCCUUUAGGCCGAGGGCACGCCUGCCUGGGCGUCAC
rnacentral:rRNA from 1 species